ensembl:rRNA 5S_rRNA 5S ribosomal RNA
ACUGGCAGCCAUAUCACCCUGUAGCCCAAGAUUGGUUACCCACUGAAGCUAAGCAGGGUUGAGCCUGGUCAGUACCUGGAUGGGAGACCUCCUGGGAAAACUAGGUUGCUGCUAGAA